CGGGGGUGGAGUAAUGCUUGGGAAUCUGGCUUAUGGAGGGGGAUAACUACGGGAAACUGUAGCUAAUACCGCGUAAUAUCGAAAGAUUAAAGUGUGGGACCUUCGGGCCACAUGCCAUAGGAUGAGCCCAAGUGGGAUUAGGUAGUUGGUGAGGUAAAGGCUCACCAAGCCGACGAUCUCUAGCUGGUCUGAGAGGAUGACCAGCCACACUGGGACUGAGACACGGCCCAG
rnacentral:rRNA from 1 species